GUGAAUCAUCGAAUUUUUGAACGCAAAUUGCACUCUCUUCGGAGAGUAUGCCUGUUUGAGGGUCAGCCUAAAAAAAAAAUCGACAUAGUUUCUGUUACGCGGUCACAUUCGUCUGAAAUUGGUUCUUUUUUUAUCUUUUGUUUUCAGCAGUUUAAAAUUUUCUUUCUUAUUCCUAGAACGUUUCUAUGAUUUUAUUUUCUUAUUCGUUUAAGGUAUCUCUCUUUCUUAGACGUUGCCGUUGCAUAAG
rnacentral:misc_RNA from 1 species